AAGAAGCGUAAUUGAAAAAUCUGAGCCCAGAUUUGCAGCCUUGUUUUAAGCCUUGCGUUUCUCAGAUGAUGGGGGUUUUAUAGCUCCCACGAGUGAGAGCUGUUGAAGAGGAACCAUAGAAGCCAAUGGCGAUGGGAAGAGAUGGGUGAAGUCCGCACCGCAGGGCUGUGUGAUGGCAUCACCCAGGUGGGCUUGGAAAAGGUUUUGCUCCAUCCAGAGUCACACCAGCACAUCCUGAGCCCACCGCCUUCAGUGGGAGCUGCUGAGCGUGGAGCCCUGCCUAAAUUUCAACGUGGUUAAUCCAAGAGUGAAUUGGUGCUGCUGCAACACGGAGCCGUCCUCCAGCGAGGGCAGUCAUUAAGGCUUUGUGUUUAAGGAAUAAAACAACAACAGAAAUCCACAGCCUUGGAGAGCGGCUUAGUUUUGUAAAUAAUUACAUGAUUCUGAGCUAUUUGCUUUAAUUCUGCAGUUAGCUGAUGGAGCUCCACUUUGGUUCGGGUCUUUUCCUUUGUGCUGGUGGGAGGAGGUGCACCAUCAGCACUCAUGGAGGAGGAUGCUUGCAAUGGGGCUGCCUCUGGGAGGGUCCACAGCUUUACUGCUGAACCCCCAGGAGCCAAGAGUUGGACUCAGUGACCCUCAUGGUUCCCUUCCAACUUGGGAUAUUCCGUGAUUCCCCAAAAAGAGCUUCAUGCUGCAGCAAAACGCAACAUCCACCAACACGAUGCAACACACCACUCCCCAAAUUCCUCCUUCCAAUAGCGUACCUGCACUGCUUCCCAAACCCUUUGUAGCAGAAAUGCUGAGUCGUGGCUUGAAGCAGUGAUGGAGCACCUGGUGGGAAGGCAGGGCCAACCCAUGGGAGCUCAGCUGCAUGCAAUUAAAUGCACCUGAUUGACCAGAAGGGCUGCAGCCAGGAUCCACCCCUUCCCAGCCCUCAUUUAAGGGUUGGCAGUGGAAGUGAGGGCCUCUCCCUGGAGCUCCCUGUGUCCCUGAGGCCUUCUGAAGGGAGAAAAGCUUCACCCAUCUCUUGCACAUCACACUUGGAGGUGAGAGAAGUGUCACAGAGCCAGGAGAGAUGAUCUGAGACAGAGCUUACAAGAAGGCAGCACUGAAAAACCCGACCUGUCAGGGCAAGCAGCGUCAGCUCAGCUCAACAUCACUGCUGGACGGUGCUCUGCUUCCACUUCAGUGUUCCUUUUAAUAUCGUUAAAGGCCAUCAUGUGGGUACCCAACGAGGGGCAGCCGGAGGGAUGCACGCGGGGACCCUGGAGGAUGCGCACAGGUUGUGAGUGCUGGGAGAAGCCCUGUGCAGGGGGGGCAGAGAGCUCAGGCUGCAGGGUUUAUCGGAAGGACAGCGGAGGUGACUUGAUUGCCAUGUGUAAGUACCUUCCUGGGAGCAAACACAGCUGCUGAAGUAUCUUUAAUCUAGUGAAGGAAGACAUAACAAGAGCCUGGAGUUUGAUCGUGUCUGGCUGCUGCUUCCCACUGGAAAAAUAAGGCACGUGCUUCUCGCAGCCAGGCUGGUUAACACAGGGUCAGCAAAGAGAUGCAUUUUGUAUUUUAAUGGCUUCGAAUCUACACCAGGGACCAUUGCUGGGGGCAGAGCCACCCAGUACCCCCCCUGCUUCCUGUGGAAGGGUGGUAUAAGGAGGUGGGUGAUGCAUAAAGCAGCUGGAGCAAGUUAUUUCGUGGAGCAAGCCUUUUUGUGGCUUCGGUGCCACUACAUUUGCCUCUCCUAAAAGCUCUGCACUGCAGAGUGCAUAAAAAUCCCUCCCUUGCGCUCACCACGUCAGUUUGCUCACAUCCUUCCAACCCCAACCACCCCAUAGGGCUGCCAACCUGCUCCUGCCCUGCAGCAAUCUGUACAACCACUGGGACAGAGGGAUGCAAUGCACUCAGAGCUCCGGGCCGCCGUGUUGUGUCAUGCAUGAGUUUCUCUGUAAGAGCUGGAUGCGUUUGUUGCAAUGUACUCACAGACGUGCUGCAGCACCAGUGGUGUUCCCUUGCAUGCUGACAUCUUUUUGGGACCCCUGGGGCUGAUUUGUUUGCGGGUGUUGCUUUCUGUGCCAACAAACUUGCUCGUAACGCAUACAACAAGACAUCAGAGCUGAGAGUUGGAUUUUUCCCUUGCUUGCAGCAUUUGUUUUCCAUUCAAGAUUGGAAAGAAGAAACAGAGGGAGAAGAAACAAACCCAAGCUGACCAAGUGACUUGGAAAGAAGCCAGCCAAGGGGAGCCCCCAUUUGCUUUUGUUUGCAGAGAACCCAGGGCAAAGCCCCGCUCCAGCUGGGGCAUGUCACCAGCUCCUAAAUCCCUGCCCUCAGCUUCAUUAGCAAGCAGUAGAGAGCAGAACUGCUCACCUGGGCUGGCAGAGGAAUGCAAUCAUGCAUGAGUGCCAUGAUAUCGUAGCAUCAUAAUGCAGAAGUACAACGAUGCAGCACUUCCCCUGCAUGGGGCUUUCCAGGAGCAGGGGCAGCAGAUGCCAUAAAUCGUUCAGCAAAAGGACAGGGAAGCGCCAUAGGAGCCGUUACCUCCUCAGAAGUCAAACAGCACAGAUUAGAAUGGAAACGACUCGGGUGUUUUCGCAGGGCUGGGCAGGGAUUGUUCAAGGCUCAGCAGUUCUCUGAGCUCCGUCUCCAGGUCAUUGAUUUAUUUGCUUCUUUGCCACUUGCAUUGCGUGCUGUGCUGAGGGAGGCUGUGAGGGCUCUGGGGCUGCACCUGGGGGCAAUUUGGGGUGCAGGGAAGGUCCCACAGGGCUGAGAAACCGUAGCUUGAUGGAGCAUGGGGCUGAGCCAAGCAGCGCAAAGCAAUGGCCACACACCGCUGUUGCUUUCCUGCUGAUCCCUGUGCACGUAGGGGGACAAAUGUGCCCAGAUCCUCCCCGAGCGGUGCCAGGGAGGAUGGCAUGGUGUAUAUAAAGACAUACAGAAGAGCAGUGGUUGGCUGCAGGAGCUCAGCAAUUAGAGGUGAUGCUGUUGGGUUUGGCACUGAACUCGGAGAUGCAGUGAAGAUGCUGUGAUGCACCCGGUGCCACUCUGACGUUUGGUUUUUAGGCUUUUUAGCAGCUGGGAUGGAUGGAAGCUGUAGAGCAAAGUGUGCUUUUCUGUCCUACCUGCACCAGGGCCUUGUUGUCAUCAUGCAAAAACAACCAUUCAUACAGCAACAGCCAACUACUGGGGAGCAGUGAGCUGUGCAAGGUGUUGUGCAAGGUCCAGCUUCCAUGUAGGGAGGAAACAAAGAGCAUCUCCUGCUCCCCACUUAAUGCAUCUCAGGGGGGACCUGGCAGUGCCUUACUCUGCUCUGCAACCUCCUGAGCAGGGCCAAAAGCAGAGCCUCCUUCCCAAACCCUGCAGUCCUUUGUAGGGAUGUGUGGCACUGAGCUGUGCGCUGAGCGCACUUUUCUCUUUAUAUUACCCAAAGGAAUGAACUGCUAUUAUGAAAUCAUUAAAUUAAUAACUUGGUAAUAUAGGCAGAUAUAUAAAACAAUCUGUUCCUAGAACAAAAGGAAUUUCCACGUCCCAAACAUCCAUAAUUUAAUUUAACAGCGAAUUAAAGCGCUGUACAUAAUUCCCCCCCCCUCCAAAAGUCAAUAGUGCUGUGCCAAUAGAGCCCUGCGUGUGCUGGGGGUGGGAAGGGGCUGUGCAAUGGCACUGGGAUGGGUAGAAUUGCUCCAAAUGGGACUUUAGGGAGAGCUGCACCCUUCAGUGCUGCUUUUCUACCCCAUUCUUCACCCAUCCUGAAGGGCAGAGGAACCCAACGCAGCACUUAAACCAGCCCAGCUCCCAUCUCCCUCCUCCUUCCAUUUCCAUUUACUUUACCCAAUAUUUUUGUCCCCCUUUUGUUUGAAAUUAAUUUGUUAUAAUUUACGGGAGCGUAUUUUGAUUGCUUUUGAUUAAGUUUAACAAGCAGGGGAAAAAAAAAGCCUCCCGCAUUAAACAUCAAAGCAAACAAAUCCGUUUUCGAGGCCCGCUCGUGCAUAAUUAAUAAAUGCUGUCACUCCUCGUACAGUAAAUAUAUCUAUUAUGCUACAAUAAAUGGUGUUGGUGUAAUUAAUACACGCAACCAAAGUAUGCUCUGAUGAAGAUCUGGGUGUAGAUGCGCCUGUUUGUACAACACCCACAACUCAGAGCGGUUGUCAAGCGUUGGUAAAGGGGGGGGGAAGUUGCUUUUUGGAGAGG
ensembl:lncRNA